UUCCGGUUGAUCCUGCCGGACCUGACUGCUAUCGGAUUGGUACUAAGCCAUGUGAGUCAUUGUAGCAAUACAAGGCAUACGGCUCAGUAACACGUAGUCAAUCUGCCCUAUGGACGUGGAUAACCUCGGGAAACUGAGAAUAAUCCGCGAUAGAUCAUAAUGCCUGGAACGGUUUAUGGUCCAAAUGAUUCGUCGCCAUAGGAUGGGACUGCGGCCUAUCAGCUUGUUGGUGAGGUAAUGGCCCACCAAGGCUAUUACAGGUACGGGCUCUGAGAGGAGAAGCCCGGAGAUGGGUACUGAGACACGGACCCAGGCCCUAUGGGGCGCAGCAGGCGAGAAACCUUUGCAAUGUGCGCAAGCACGACAAGGUUAAUCCGAGUGUUUCCUGCUAAAGGAAUCUUUUGUUAGUUCUAAAACCACUGAUGAAUAAGGGGUGGGCAAGUUCUGGUGUCAGCCGCCGCGGUAAAACCAGCACCUCAAGUGGUCAGGAGGAUUAUUGGGCCUAAAGCAUCCGUAGCCGGUUCUGUAAGUUUCCGGUUAAAUCCACUAGCUCAACUAAUGGGCUGCCGGAAAUACUGCAGAACUAGGGAGUGGGAGAGGUAGACGGUACUCGGGAGGAAGGGGUAAAAUCCUUUGAUCUCUUGAUGACCACCUGUGGCGAAGGCGGUCUACCAGAACACGUUCGACGGUGAGGGAUGAAAGCUGGGGGAGCAAACCGGAUUAGAUACCCGGGUAGUCCCAGCUGUAAACGAUGCAGACUCGGUGAUGCACUGGCUUUUGGCCAGUGCAGUGCCGCAGGGAAGCCGUUAAGUUUGCCGCCUGGGAAGUACGUACGCAAGUAUGAAACUUAAAGGAAU
rnacentral:rRNA from 1 species